AUUUUAUUAAAAAAAAAAAAAAGUGUGGUUAUUUUAAUAUGAGCUUAAAAAUUCAUCAUACAUUUACUUCAUUUUUUUAGCUUGACUUUCUUUCUAGUAAUCUUUAGCUUCACUGUUUUGGGCUACUAUAGAAGGAGAUCCUCCUUUGGGCAAUUUAAAAGCAUAAUUUGUCAAGCAUCUCAUUUUCCUUUAUUGACUAUAUGGCUUAAACAGUAUUAAUGUUGCUUCCUGUUUUGUCAUUUUGAUUUCAAACCCACCUCUAUAAUAGCUACCACUGACGGCAGAUUUUGGUAGACUCUGAAAUUUGUAUUUUACUUGAGGCUCCAUAUGUUUCAUGGCUUGUAAAACAGCACUCUGCAAAUCCUGCAGCAGCAAUGGUCAGUCCAACUGCUACCACUGUACUGGCCAUGUCUCAGUCUCAGCUCCCCUGCUUUUACCAGGAGCACCGUUCAUCCUAGCCCAGAGGCCACAGCCACCACCAUAAGCUUUAACCAGAAAGUGAUAUAUCCGCAGGAGCAAGCACAAGUUCCCAAGUACAGGAACCCUCACUUAGUUGGCUUUCUAUGCAUAUAUAAACAGGCUCUUCAGAUAUAAUACAUGAUUAGAUUAUAUAACAUUGGAUUUUGUAACCUGACCUAUAGUCAAAACACUGAAUUAUUCUACAAUCCAAAAAGAGAGAUUUAUUUUAAAAAGCCUUUGCUCUUGGAUCCACUUUAUAUGGAAUACUCCUGCUAUUCCCAGAUCUUUCUCUCUCUUGCUCAGUUACCUCUGCAAGUUCUUACCAAAUUUCAUCCUAGUUAUCUAUAGCAACAAUUUUGGAAUAACUCGGCUCUGUUAUUACUAUUGGUCAAAAUUAAACCCUUACAUUAUGUAAGUCUCUUCCUUGAACAUUUUAAGACAAAUUGUUUAUGUUGUAGGAUAAUAUUUAAGGUAAUGCAUAUAAAAGGAAAAUCCUACCUAUACAAUGUAGAUAGAAAAAAUGACCAGGCACUAGAACCUGUGAAGUAAGGAAGGACAGGCAACAGUCUCUGGGUCCAAGUGACAUUUAAAUUGAGGAGGUGCAACCUGUAAAUUUCUAAUUUAUCACCACAAAGGGUCAGUUGAGAGUGAUUCCUGCAGUGAUUUCUCAGAAAGUUGAAAUUGGGAUAUAAUUGAUUUCAAAGACAACCAAAAUUACUUCAUCCAUCAACAUUUCUAUUCCUGACAUAUUUUUGUAAUCAUGUCGAAAGAGCAGUUCUCAAAAGGAUACAAAUUGUUAACUUCCACAAGGGAAAAGACCUAAAUAAGCUAAUUCAAUGAUUCCCUUAUAGAAGGAAUACUUCAUAAGCUAAAGAUGUGGUUAAAUAAUUAUUACUAAACUGGAUUCAAAAUCAUUAGCCAGGGGCUGGGGAUAUGGCUCAAGCGGUAGCGUGUUCUCCUGGCAUGCGUGCAACCCGGGUUGGAUCCUCAGCACCACGUACAAACAAAGAUGUUGUGUCCGCCGAAAACUAAAAAAUAAAUAUUAAAAAA
rnacentral:lncRNA from 1 species